rnacentral:rRNA from 1 species
GACAGAGGUGCCGAGCGUUAGGCGGAAUCACUGGGCUUAAAGCGUGUGUAGGCGGACUUCUAAGUACCUUGUGAAAUCCCACAGCUUAACUGUGGAACUGCUUGGUAUACUGCCAGUCUUGAGCCACUUAGGGGCUACCGGAACAAAUGGUGGAGCGGUGAAAUGCGUAGAUAUCAUUUGGAACGCCAAUGGUGAAAACAGGUAGCUGGGAGUGUGCUGACACUGAGACACGAAAGCCAGGGGAGCAAACGGG